rnacentral:rRNA from 1 species
GGCAACUGCGUGCCAGCGGGCGCGGUAAGACGAAGGAUGCAAGCUGUAUCCGGAUUCAUUUGGUUUAAAGGGUGCGUAGGCUGACUUGUAAGUCAGUGGUGAAAUCUCUUUGCUUAACAAAGAAACUGCCAUUGAUACUGCUAGUCUAGAGUAUAGAUGACGUUGGCGGAAUAUGACAUGUAGUGGUGAAAUACUUAGAUAUGUCAUAGAACACCGAUUGCGAAGGCAGCUAACGAAACUAUAACUGACGCUGAGGCACGAAAGUGCGGGGAUCAAACAGGAUUAGAUACCCUAGUAGUC